rnacentral:rRNA from 1 species
UACGGAGGGUGCAAGCGUUAUCCGGAUUCACUGGGCUUAAAGGGUGCGUAGGCGGAUAUGUAAGUCCGUGGUGAAAUCUCUGGGCUUAACCCGGAAACUGCCAUGGAUACUAUGUGUCUUGAAUGUUGUUGAGGUGAGCGGAAUAUGUCAUGUAGCGGUGAAAUGCUUAGAUAUGACAUAGAACACCAAUUGCGAAGGCAGCUCACUAAGCAAAUAUUGACGCUGAGGCACGAAAGCGUGGGGAUCAAACAGG